rnacentral:rRNA from 1 species
CUUGCACCUUUCAAGCGAGUGGCGAACGGGUGAGUAACACGUGGAUAACCUGCCUCAAGGCUGGGGAUAACAUUUGGAAACAGAUGCUAAUACCGAAUAAAACUUAGUAUCGCAUGAUACAAAGUUGAAAGGCGCUACGGCGUCACCUAGAGAUGGGUCCGCGGUGCAUUAGUUAGUUGGUGGGGUAAAGGCCUACCAAGACAAUGAUGCAUAGCCGAGUUGAGAGACUGAUCGGCCACAUUGGGACUGAGACACGGCCCAAACUCCUACGGGAGGCUGCAGUAGGGAAUCUUCCACAAUGGGCGAAAGCCUGAUGGAGCAACGCCGCGUGUGUGAUGAAGGCUUUAGGGUCGUAAAGCACUGUUGUAUGGGAAGAAAUGCUAGAAUAGGGAAUGAUUCUAGUUCGACGGUACCAUACCAGAAAGGGACGGCUAAAUACGUGCCAGCAGCCGCGGUAAUACGUAUGUCCCGAGCGUUAUCCGGAUUUAUUGGGCGUAAAGCGAGCGCAGACGGUUGAUUAAGUCUGAUGUGAAAGCCCGGAGCUCAACUCCGGAAUGGCAUUGGAAACUGGUUAACUUGAGUGUUGUAGAGGUAAGUGGAACUCCUGGGUGAGGGG